rnacentral:rRNA from 1 species
UACGUAGGGUGCAAGCGUUGUCCGGAAUUAUUGGGCGUAAAGAGCUCGUAGGCGGUCUGUCGCGUCGGCUGUGAAAACCUAGGGCUCAACCCUGGGCCUGCAGCCGAUACGGGCAGACUAGAAUUCGGUAGGGGAGACUGGAAUUCCCGGUGUAGCGGUGAAAUGCGUAGAUAUCUGGAGGAACACCGGUGGCGAAGGCGGCAUCCUGGACCGGCAUUGACGCUGAGGCGCGAAAGCCAGGGGAGCAAACGGG